rnacentral:rRNA from 1 species
CCUACGGGUGGCAGCAGUGGGGGAUAUUGCACAAUGGGGGGAACCCUGAUGCAGCGACGCCGCGUGGGUGAAGAAGCGCCUCGGCGCGUAAAGCCCUGUCAGCAGGGAAGCAAAUGACGGCACCCGAAGAAGAAGCACCGGCUAACUACGUGCCAGCAGCCGUGGGAAUACGUGGGGGGCAAGCGUUAUCCGGAUUUACUGGGGGUAAAGGGGGCGCAGACGGGGGUGCAAGUGCGGAGGGAAAGCCCGGGCGCUAACCCCGGGACAGCUCUUGGAACUGGGUGGCUGGAGUGCAGGAGGGGCAGGCGGAAUGCCUGGUGUAGCGGUGAAAUGCGUAGAUAUCAGGAGGAACCCCGGUGGCGAAGGCGGCCUGCUGGCCUGCAACUGACGUUGAGGCCCGAAAGCGUGGGGAGCAAACAGGAUUAGAUACCCCUGUAGUC